AGGCGCUGAACGAUGAGGAGGCCAGGAAGUUUGUUGCUGCAUUCGAUGACGUCUCCAUUGCUUCGGUGAUGCUUGCGGGUGCCAAGUACCUGAAGACUUCUGCAGACGGGACCAUUUUCCGCGGCCGCAAGGACAAGAGCGGCUUUGUUGCUCGCAAGGGCGCCCAGUGCAUCAUUAUUGGCUUCUACACGGAUCCGCCGGUCUCCGCCCAGACCUGCAACAAGGUGGUGGAGGCUCUGGCUGACUACCUCGCGGACCAGGGGUACUAAACUUGACUUGGUGGGUGCAGUCUGUCGAGGGAUGCAGGAGAGGAGGUUGCACACGUGCACGCG
rnacentral:lncRNA from 1 species